GAUGAACGCUGGCGGCGUGCCUAAUGCAUGCUAGUCGAGCGAACAGACGAGGAGCUUGCUCCUCUGACGUUAGCGGCGGACGGGUGAGUAACACGUGGAUAACCUACCUAUAAGACUGGGAUAACUUCGGGAAACCGGAGCUAAUACCGGAUAACAUGUUGAACCGCAUGGUUCAACAGUGAAAGACGGUCUUGCUGUCACUUAUAGAUGGAUCCGCGCCGCAUUAGCUAGUUGGUAAGGUAACGGCUUACCAAGGCAACGAUGCGUAGCCGACCUGAGAGGGUGAUCGGCCACACUGGAACUGAGACACGGUCCAGACUCCUACGGGAGGCAGCAGUAGGGAAUCUUCCGCAAUGGGCGAAAGCCUGACGGAGCAACGCCGCGUGAGUGAAGAAGGUCUUCGGAUCGUAAAACUCUGUUAUUAGGGAAGAACAAAUGUGUAAGUAACUAUGCACGUCUUGACGGUACCUAAUCAGAAAGCCACGGCUAACUACGUG
rnacentral:rRNA from 1 species